ACACAUCUGUUGUUUUCUCUCUCAAACUUUAGAAAGAGAAAGUUCUCUCAACUUUUCUGCGUUUCCUCUUUUGGCCGGUGACCGGUGUUAUUCCGACCCGACACUGUGCUGUUUAUAUCUUCGGUUUUCUUCUUUGCGAGGAGUAAUCUUUGUUGUUAUCCUCUUGCUCAUCACUCGGAGCAACAACGGGACAGAGCUCAGACCAAUAAAUUGGGUCUGAACGGCGACGAAGCUUCCUUGGAGGAGGAGAUUUGGAAAAAGUUCAAAAGCGGUUUCAUUUCUAUUUCAGUUUUAUUUUCCGAUGAGUAAUUUCGAAGAUAUGAAGGAUAACAAAAGGUUAGCAUCUUGGUACAAAAUUUCUUGCUGUGGAGGUUAGAGUCACUAGAGAUGCAGUUCACCGGAGUUUGCAGUCGCCGGCAGCAAAGAGUGGUGACGGAAGCAUCAUCGAUUACGCAGACAAGCCUGGAGCAAGACACCUGUUUUCUCUUUGUUUCAAGAGAUAACGUGUGUCACUACACGUGUUUGGAUUAUGUAUCUUUUAUAGGCCUUGUAUGUUUGGGCUUCUCUUGUA